rnacentral:lncRNA from 1 species
CCUCCUGCACAUGAUUUUUUAUUGUUUCUGGGUGUGUGGCUUUCCAGAUCUAGGUGAAUUGCUGCCGUGAUUUCUUUGUGGGUUCGUGAUUGGUGUUUGUAGCCGCCGUGUUGUUGUAGAUUCGUGGUAGGUGCUUGUAGUUUUAGCGGUUGGCUCUGCUUCCUGGCAUGCGUAAUCCUCCAUUGUUCCCCAUCUACUCUUGUGUAGGCGCUGGUAGUUGUCUCGUUUUUUUUUUUGGUUAGAUGUAGAUGUAUGGAUUAGAUGCAGGGUUUCAGAUGAGUGUUUUUGUGGUUAGAGUUUGGUGACUUGCGCUGGCAGGUGGUCUUUAUGUUCGUGGAUCCUGUUGGUUUUUUGUAGUAGAUACAUGAAUUUUGGUGAGGUUUAGUUGUAGUUAGUUGUUAUCAGUGGCCUCUACUGCAUGCAGUGCACAGGUUCCAUGACUUCUGAGUGUUAUCAAUGGCCUCUGGGUGUAUCAGACUUACCCCAGCCUCCAGUUAGCUCUGUUUUUGGUGUAUUUUCCAGGUUAUAUUUCCUAUUUUCCCCUGUGUUCUAGCCCUGUACUUACCCCUAGUUUGUGAGUGUUGGUUCUUAUCAAUGUAUUUUUUCAGUGCUCAUGUAUUAGAGUGUAAGCACAAUAAUUUAUGUGUUCUUUUGCUAGUAUUUGUUUUCUGAAGUUCAUGUAGGUUAUCUAGAUUAUCUAUUGAAUUGUGCGCUUUUCUCUGUAUUUUUAUGUGCUUUGCACUUCAAUUCCUCUAUUCUUUCAUUUUUCUAAUGCUCCUGGUUGAUUGAACCAACCAAGAUUUGCAGUGUAACUCUAUUUGUAUUGAGUCUGUAUUUUACUUAUGUUUCUGUAGUGUAAUUAUCCUAGAGUUACUGCGUAAUUAUGUCCAGAGUUUCAGUGUAAUAUAGGCCAGAGUUACUGUGUAAUUUCCCUGAGUUGCAGUGUAAUUCCCCCCAGAGUUACCGUGUAAUUCUCAUGCUUAUUAUAUGUACUUGACCCUAGAGUUUUACACACUGUGAUUACCCCAGAGUUACUGUGUAAUUACCCCAGAGUUCCAGUGUAAUAUACCUUAGAGUUGUUGUGUAAUUUGUCCCAGAGUUUCAGUGUAAUUACCCCCAGAGUUACUGUGUAAUUCACAUGCUGCUUACAUGUUAUCCCAGAGUUAUAAUGUGUCCCAUUUUUUACAGUGUAAUUUUGUAUGAUUCGGUUAUGUAAUUCCUGAAAUUUUGGCUUCCAUUCUUGUUGAUUGUUCGAGUGUCGUUGUGGUGCAGUUAUGAACUAUGUCCUGUUUACAGUGUAAUCUUCCCAAGAAUUCCAGUGUAACCCUAGUUUUACAUUAUAAACGCCUUGCUUAUUCUAUGUAUUUACAGUGUAAUGUUCCCAAUAAUGCAGUGCUAUCCCAGAUUUACAGUCUAAGCCCCCUUGCUUUUAUUUCCGUAUUUAUAGUGUAAUUUCCGCCCUAAUUUUUAGUGUAAUAUUCAUGCUUCAGCUCUGCAAUUUAUAGGUUUUAGUUUAAUGGGUAAGCUUCGGAAAGUCUCUCGCCAGGACGUUACAUUAGUAUCAUCUUCGGAAUUUGCAUUUGUGUGAGUGCUCUGAUUCUCCCCUUUCUCUUUCUUCAUUGCUGUGGCAAGUGUUUGAGUUUGUUUUUGUUGCUGCUGAACUGGGGUGAACAUCUUCAGUCUCCUGGAUACUUAGCAUUUUGUUUCGGAUUUAUUCUUCUUACUAGUUUCAACUUGUAUGAUAUGUACUUGUUUCUGAAAUUUUAUUAAUGUGCCCACCUGUUCCAAAUUCAUGUGGGCAAACAUGUCUGUUUUCCAGGGGUUCGGUUCUGUUGCGCCUUCUUCGCUUGGUGUAGCUUUGUUUUGCAUUUCUUCCAAUGUCUGCAGCAGAGUUCUCAAGAUGUAAGUUUCUCAAUUUUUUGUCAGGUCAUGAGUUUUUCACCAAUAGUUUCACUUACUCUAGAAUGAAUUGUUGGGCUGUUGGUGUUAUGUGUUUUGUUACUGGAGUCCUCCACUCUUAAUUGUGUUGUUGAUGUAGCCCCAUUUGCCGAAUGUACCUGCAAUCACCAUGUUAAGUUAACUGGAGUUCUUGUUGGAAUAGCAUACUAAGAAAACACUCUUUUUUGUCAAGAGGUUUGGUACCACUACUGUAUUUCAAAGUUGCUUUUCUGACCUUGUACAUAAUGUCUUAUUGUAGGAGUGCUGUAAAAGAAAACGAUUCCUACAAUGUAUUUUUUGUGUGAGCUAUUUUGAUUUUGAUGUACGCAACAUUUUCUUGUGAGUUUUUGCCAUUUAGUGAUACUCACAUUUUGAAUGAGAUCUUCUUGUGAUAGUGACAGUAGAUUGUCUUUUGUUAUUGUUCUUCUCAUGCUCCCCAUCUACAUUUUUUUGUAAAGAAUUAUCUGUGAAUUACUGGAUCUGUAUAAAAAGUCGAGAAUUAGGAGGACAGUGGUCUUUCCGGUGUAUUUUUAAAGUUCCUGGGUAUUUUAGUUCCCUUGGUAUUCCAGCAUAGAUUUUUUGGUGAUUUACACUGUAUUUAUUAUGGUAGUAUCGCUGUAGUUACUCUGCAUUUUUAGUCUGUAUUUACACUGUAAGUUCAUAUGCUUUUUCAGUGUACUUGCUAUGUAUUUUAGUAGUUUUAUGCACCGUUCUUACACUGUAAAUCCAGGGCAUUUUCAUUGUACUUGAUCUGUACUUUCACUGAUCAUUGUACUUGUAAGUUCCGCGGCAUUUGGUAAUUCUAUGGUUUUUUUUCCAGUGUAAGUCCAUGUGUUUCUACAUUGUCCAGGAAGUUACAAUGUAUAUAUAGGGGCACUUUACAGUGUAAUUCCUGGGUUAUUUCGCUGUAAAUCCUGAUCAACAACAUUCUUACAAUGUAAAUGUUCAUUUUUACAGUCUAAUUUACACUGUAUAUUCUAGGCGAUUUCCACUGUAUUUUUUGUGCAGUUACACUGUAAUUCCUAGGUACUUUACCGUGUAAGCUGACAAGUUUUGGCAAGUUUAAAUCUCUUGUAGUUUUCAGUGUCAAUUCCUGUGUAUGUGGACUAUAAUUUCCAGGGGAUUUACACUGUAAGUCUUGGACUAUUGCAGUGUACUAAUUGUUAGGCAGUUGCAGUGUAAGUUGGCAAGUUCUGCUAGCGUAAAUCUUGGACUGUAAUUUGUAGGCGUUCUUGGACUCUUUUGCACUGCGAUUCUUGGUAAAUUUUCAGUGUCAUUUACUUUGUCUACGCAGUCUGUAGGCUCUGAUUUUUUUUUCUUUCUACUCUUUGCAGCCUUGUUUUCGUAUUAUACUCCGGAAAUGAGUUCCUGUCAUUUUUCUGAAUGUUUCUAUGGUAUCAGGUGCGCAUAUUCUUUUGUAUUUUUCUGCAUGCUUUCACUAGUAUUGAGUCUACAGUGUAAUUUUCAGCUACCUUGGGAUUAUAGUGUAGGUUCUAUGAUUUUUGCCACUGUAUUUCUUCAUUAUAUACUUCAAAGUUUCUGUAAUUUCCCAAGUUUAGGCACUGCUAGCGAUCACUCAUUUCCAGAGUAUCUUGUGGUCCAGGUUUAGCUGAAACUGGGUGACAGUUUAGCCCGGCCUGUUUUUUAGAAAUAGAAAACAUAUAGUCGCCGGGGUGGUUAUUUUUGGACAUACAAGUGUGCUCUGUUUUUUUGUCAAGAAAUGUGAAUGUUACCGAAUUGAAAAACAGUCAAGUGCUGAAUAGACACUCCCAUUGUCAAUAUGUACCUAUUCUGGAGGGAUGCCUCCGAACAGACACCUCUUCUUCCCAUCUCUUCCAGAUGUAUAUAUACUUGAGAAUCAAUGGAAACCAGGACGGAUUGUCCUUUCACUUUCAAUCUCGUUUUACUCUAACACGUUAUCACGCACGUUGCUCUCCAAUAGAGCAAGAACCUGCCGGCGAACUCGCUGGAACUGAACAAAAUCAACAGGCAAAAGGUGAGACAGAAGAACAAAUGCCUGGGAAUCUUCUCUCCUUGUUUCUUCGCCUCCUUCGCGAUGACGGCCGUUGCCGCCGUUUCGUCGCUCGCCGCAGUCAUCAUGGUGUGGGCGGACUUCGUCGCUUCCACCGUCGAGUGCGCGACCUUCCCGCUUCGGUGGAGGUUGGAAGUCACCGCCACCAGAUCGGCGCCCUGAGCGUGCCGGUGCAGGCCCUAGCGCCGGCCGCUCGGCUUUUCGCGCCGCUGGCCCAUGAGCCGGCCGCGCCGCUGAUGCCGGCGGUGGCUGACUGGCUGUACGCCGGUCCGGCCGCUCCGACGCUGCACAUCGACCCGGUCGCCCCUGUCGAAAUAGUUACGCCUCCAGGGAACGACAUCGUCGAGGACGAGGACGAGGCUGCGCCGCUGCCAUCUCCGACCCCUACGGUCGUCGAGGUUGGAGCCAGCCGCGCGCUCGCCUUCCUGUCCACGCCGACGGGAUCCGCUGCUUCUCAAGUGCCGCGCCGGACGACGCCCCUGCGCCUCCGCAUCUACCAUCCCCCACGCCAACCACGCCUCCUCCUCGUCGCCGCCUUAAGUCCUUCGGCUUCACGGCGUCGAGCCCUCCGUCGAGCAGCCGUGCCGCCGCGCGCGUGGGGACUUGGAGCCCGGCCGCCCUCGGGCUCGCAAACGGCGUCUCCAACGGCGUCGAGCCGGGCACCCUGCUCAUUGGAGUUUCCCCGGACAAGGACGGGCGCAGGGGGAGCGCCUCCCGCCGCCCGUGAAUGCCGCUGCGGCGGCGUGCUUCCUGGUGGCACAGGGCGGCCGUGUGCCUGGGUUACUCGAGCGUGGUUGGGAACGAAGCGAUGGGGAAUUUCCCCCUCCGUCGCUCUGCUUAUCUGUUGGUAGUGGACUAGUCUGGACAUGGGCAUGCGGCAGGGGAUCAAAAGGCACCACGUGCCUUGCUGUUUGUUCGUUUGCCUUGACCGCUUGACUAGUCCUAGUUCAGCUAAUCAGCAAAUUAGUCUUAAUUCAAUCCUGUUUAGACUCUGUUAUUUCCAGUAUUUGUCUUAAAUACUGAUUUCUGUAGAGUACCUUGUAUUUCAGAACGUGAUGUAAUAUAUUUCCAUGUUUCUUACAUGUUGAGAUUCAUUACAUCCAUUAUUUGUAACUGAGAUUUUUUUAUCUCUUGCAAAGAUAAAUGCGGUACCUCUGAUACUGUUUCUCUGUUGAAUACAAGGUAUUCCGGAAUAUUUCUAUGAUGUAUCUAUCUCCAUGUUAAACACAUGUCGAGAUUAAUACGUCUAUUUGCAAUUGAGAUUUUUAAUUUCUUGCAAAUACAGAUGCAAAAUUCUUAUUGAUUUCUUCAAAUUGAUGUAUUGAGAUCACAAGGUGGUGUGCAUAUCUACUACUUUGCAGAUUAUCUCCACUACCGACAAAGCCUAUAUUUUGUCAUUUUGACAUUAUGAUUGCUUUACAAAGUGCUCUCCCACAUAUGUUACUAUGUCAUGACAUAAGGCAUUACGAGUGAGUAUCUACUGAUUUCAUCACAUUAUACUCCCUAGUGCUGCGAGAUCUACUCCAUUUUGGAGAUUAUCUUCAAGAUCUCAUACUUAGCAAUUUGAGAUUCACCCUAAUGCUUUCAAGCUAAGUUCUUGAAAUGUCCAUUAAUUUUUUGCAAAAUUCAUUACAACACUAACCAUGAUGGUCUUUAAUUUACUACUCGUAAAUUAAGCAUCUCUGGUUUGCCCUUAUAAGUAACUGAUGGCUAAGUAAUUUGAGGCUCUUGCCCUCAAUGGCCACAACUUAUUUAAGCGGGUCAUGGACAUCAAGAUCAGUCUUGCCUCCCAUGGGAUAGCGCGUGCAAUCCAAGCCACGCCACCGGGACGCAAAGAACCUCAAGGGUAAAGGUUUAAAACUCACUUCAAACCUUCAAACUGACAUCAUCAUGGAAGUCAUUUGUUUGCAUGAUGUUCUUAUAGAACCGAGCAAUAAAAUGACUAUCCAGCUGUAACGGGAUCCUAUGAGCACGAAAAACAUGACGGUUGAAUAUGCAUUAACCGACAUGUUUGGAGACUACAUUUAGUCCCUCAAUAUCCUUAGUGAUCUAUUUAUUUAUCCAUUUCUGAUGUUCUAGUAUGAACAUGAUUAUUCUUGUCAUCAUAUAUUGCAUAUCAUAAUAUAUUGUAUUAGCACAUUGCUACAAAUACAUUUGUGUGUAUUCUAUAUAUCUGAAGUGAUUUUCAUAUUGAAAAUCUUCGUGUCUAUAUAUAGAUUUCUACGGGGGUCAAUCUGAUGAAAGAUGAUUUUUCCAUGUGGAC